NNAUUCCCUGGGAUUGGGUUUGGGCCUUUCCUGCGCAGUUUCGCUGGAAGGCGAAAAAGGCCUCCUUCCGGAGGGGCCCGAGCCAUCAAUGAGAUACCACUCUAGAAGAGCUAGAAUUUUAACCUUGUGUCAGGACCUACGGGCCAAGGGACAGUCUCAGGUAGACAGUUUUUAUGGGGCGUAGGCCUUCCAAAAGAAUAACUGAAAGAAAGGAAAUCAAU
rnacentral:lncRNA from 1 species